rnacentral:rRNA from 2 species
UAGAAUUCCACGUGUAGCAGUGAAAUGCGUAGAGAUGUGGAGGAAUACCGAUGGCGAAGGCAGCCUCCUGGGAUAACACUGACGUUCAUGCUCGAAAGCGUGGGUAGCAAACAGGAUUAGAUACCCUGGUAGUCCACGCCCUAAACGAUGACAAUUAGCUGUUGGGACACUAGAUGUUUUAGUAGCGAAGCUAACGCGUGAAAUUGUCCGCCUGGGGAGUACGGUCGCAAGAUUAAAACUCAAAGGAAUUGACGGGGACCCGCACAAGCGGUGGAUGAUGUGGAUUAAUUCGAUGCAACGCGAAGAACCUUACCUGGUCUUGACAUGUACGGAAUCUCUUAGAGAUAGGAGAGUGCCUUCGGGAGCCGUAACACAGGUGCUGCAUGGCUGUCGUCAGCUCGUGUCGUGAGAUGUUGGGUUAAGUCCCGCAACGAGCGCAACCCUUGUCAUUAGUUGCCAUCAUUAAGUUGGGCACUCUGAUGAGACUGCCGGUGACAAACCGGAGGAAGGUGGGGAUGACGUCAAGUCCUCAUGGCCCUUAUGACCAGGGCUUCACACGUCAUACAAUGGUCGGUACAGAGGGUAGCGAAGCCGCGAGGUGAAGCCAAUCUCAGAAAGCCGAUCGUAGUCCGGAUUGCACUCUGCAACUCGAGUGCAUGAAGUCGGAAUCGCUAGUAAUCGCAGGUCAGCAUAC